GGAUGGGUAUGCCUAGCGGCGAGGGCGGCGGACUGUAAAUCCGUUACAAAGAAACAUCGCAAGUUCGAGUCUUGCCCCAUCCA
rnacentral:tRNA from 1 species